CCUAACACAUGCAAGUCGAACGGGAAGCGGUGCAUAUUGCUUCGGUGAUAAUGUGCCGUGGAGAGUGGCGAACGGGUGCGUAACACGUAGGUAACCUGCCCUGAAAGGGGGGAUAACCACGGGAAACUGUGGCUAAUACCGUAUAAUCUCGCCGUGGCGGUGGUUACGGUGAGGAAAGCUGAGGCGAUUUGGGAGGGGCCUGCGGUCGAUUAGCUGGUUGGUGGGGUAAAGGCCCACCAAAGCGAUGAUCGAUAGCUGUUCUGAGAGGAAGACCAGACACACGGGAACUGAGACACGGUUCCGACUCCUACGGGGGGCAGCAGUGAGGAAUGUUGCGCAAUGAGGGGAACCCUGAUGCAGCAACGCCGCGUGGAGGACGAAGGUUUUCGGAUUGUAAACUCCUUAACUGGGGGAAGAG
rnacentral:rRNA from 1 species